UGCGACUCAAGAAAUCUUCACCGCAACAGCCAUGGUUGAUGCCGUGGUGAUGACCCUACUGUGUGCUGCUGUAGCAGGUUCCGCUUCCAGCAGUAGUUGCAGCAACUGUGACGGUAACAACGUGACCUGUGUUGACGGUGUGUGUCUACCCCGUUGUGUGAAUGUGACGUCAUCUGGAGAGUGUCUCCAGUGUCUGGACUCCAGGUUCUAUGGUAAACAGUGUCAA